AGGGUGAGCAAAUCUCAAAAAUAAACGUCUCAGUUCGGAUUGUAGCCUGCAACUCGACUACAUGGAGCUGGAAUCGCUAGUAAUCGCGAAUCAGAAUGUCGCGGUGAAUACGUUCCCGGGUCUUGUACACACCGCCCGUCACACCAUGGGAGUCGGAUAUGCCCGAAGUCAGUGACCCAACCAUAUGGAGGGAGCUGCCGAAGGUGGAGCCGAUAACUGGGGUGAAGUCGUAACAAGGUAUC
rnacentral:rRNA from 1 species